rnacentral:lncRNA from 1 species
GGAAAUUUGGCAGACUUGGCACUUGUUCCUGCAACAACGAUUCCGCCACUGUGCGCAUGCUGAUGUGAUCAGGGAGCUCGAGACACUAGGAACAGCACAUUUAUCUCGCGCCGGAAAAAAAGUGAUCAGCAAGCGCUUUUCCUCUCCUCUUCACAUGACGAAGCGCUCAAGGGAGACAGAAAUGCAUUUAUCUUCUGCACAACAGUAACGUGAAAUGUCCACAUUUAAAACAAAUAUUUACAAAAAAAUAUAGAAAACAUUUCCACUUUUGACAGAGAAGAAACAUUUUAAACAUACAUUUUUGGUUAUGAAUGUCGGAGAGCGCAGCGUCACAACAUCUACAUCUCGUGCGCGAUAGCAUCACAUAGUGAAUCAUUUACAGGGUGAGUCUGGCCACCGGCUCGCUUGUUCUUUAUCAUCCCGGUUGCAUUUCCCAACAAAGCGCUGCACCAAGAAACUGUCGGGGGUAUAAUCACUGCCCGCCCAGGACUCACAACUUCUUUGGCCCUUUACGCGGAAAGGCAUGCACCAUAGCCUAGACUGCGCGCAAAGCACCCUACUGCAAUGGACCUAAAAAUACAGAAAAGUGGGAGUUGAGGAUUUCGACUACCGCAGUCCACCCCACUCACAGAAGCUCCUCGCUUCUAGAUCCACUCUCUCUCACACACACACACACACACACUGCAAUAGCCUGCAUCCACGGCACCUUCGCAGAUACAACAAAACAAAUAAAAGCACAUAAAAGUUUCUUACCGGUGUUUUUAUCUUUAUCACUCAUGUUUCACUGCAAAUAAGAGCUGGUCAGUGGGCAAGUUGAAGGUAGUGCUUCGAUGUGAAUGUGCCUGGUCGGGUUGCGCCUUCCUUCCGCCUCUUCAGAUGGGGCAGCAGGGACAGCAGCGGAGCGGGAUGCUGAGCUGAAGUCAGAUCGAUAAACAGUUAAGAUCUGUUAAAAACGCUGUAAACACGGGACUACAGAUGAAAACUAGCCAGCUGGCUAAAUGUAGCACAUUUACAGAAAUGUUAAUUCAUUUGCAUUGUCUCUGUCAAAUAAAUACAUUUAUAAAUAAACUUUGAUGCAUGUUGUACUUUCUCUGCUCAGGAUACGUUUACAAAGGUGAUGUUUGGGGUCACCAUGACCUGCCAGAUGCGCAAAAUUAUCAUUAUCUGGCUAAUAGUUGGGGCCGGUGGUAAAAUGGGCUGGUGAAUUAGAAACGCCAAAGCCAAUUUAUGGUCCCAGUCCGCACCUGACCAUGACCGAAGGCUUGCUGUGUGGACAUAAA